AACAAGCUCUAGAGCUGUCAUAGGUGUGGUUUGAUGGUAGAUCUAGACAAUCAUAUUUCCAACUUUAAUGAUUCUAUGAUUACAAUAUAUACAAUUUUUCCUCUGUGUAUUUUCAAUUUAUAUACCAACUACGUGUUGAUUCUUGAAGUGUAUCCACAAUUUCUCGUAACAGGGCACAUUAUUCAAGUUCAUUCUAAUUCAUCCAGUUGUGACUUUUUAACAUAAUGGAGCUAUUCAUACUAGGGAACCACACUCUAAGCUGGAUCUCAAGUAAAUACACCGACUCAGCUAAUGUGAAUGUCAGUAUUUUGCUGAAACUUUUUAAUAGAAUUUCGUCUGGGCAAAUCCUUCAUCACAGUUUCAUCAGCCUUUUGGGAAAAGCAGAGAUUACUCUGGGAUGUUUAAACCCACCCAGCUGGAGCAUGGCAGCAACAUAUGGCAUCAAGCUUUUCAGAGAUCCGGAGAAGUUCUGGAAAGCAGCAGUCUCUUCUGACACUGGAUGGGAUCAGCUUGCAUCAUUACACAGGAGAGAAGUGUAG
rnacentral:lncRNA from 1 species